ACGCUGGCGGCGUGCGUAACACAUGCAAGUCGAACGAGAGAGAGAGAGAAGCUUGCUUUUCUUACGAUCGAGUGGCAAACGGGUGAGUAACGCGUAAACAACCUGCCCCGCAGAUGGGGACAACAGCUGGAAACGGCUGCUAAUACCGAACACGCUCCUCUUAGCGCAUGGUAAGAGGAAGAAAGGGUGGCCUCUGGAACAAGCUACCGCUGCGGGAGGGGUUUGCGUCUGAUUAGCUGGUUGGAGGGGUAACGGCCCACCAAGGCGACGAUCAGUAGCCGGUCUGAGAGGAUGAACAGCCACAUUGGAACUGAGACACGGUCCAGACUCCUACGGGAGGCAGCAGUGGGGAAUCUUCCGCAAUGGGCGAAAGCCUGACGGAGCAACGCCGCGUGAGUGAAGACGGCCUUCGGGUUGUAAAGCUCUGUUAUAGGGGACGAACGGCCGGGUAGCGAAGAGGUACCCGGCAUGACGGUACCGUAAGAGAAAGCCACGGCUAACUACGUGCCAGCAGCCGCGGUAAUACGUAGGUGGCAAGCGUUGUCCGGAAUGAUUGGGCGUAAAGGGCGCGCAGGCGGCUGUGUAAGUCUGUCCAGAAAGUGCGGGGCUAAACCCCGUGAGAGGAUGGAAACUGGACAGCUGAGAGUGUCGGAGAGGAAAGCGGAAUUCCUAGUGUAGCGGUGAAAUGCGUAGAUAUUAGGAGGAACACCGGUGGCGAAAGCGGCUUUCUGGACGACAACUGACGCUGAGGCGCGAAAGCCAGGGGAGCAAACGGGAUUAGAUACCCCGGUAGUCCUGGCCGUAAACGAUGGGUACUAGGUGUAGGAGGUAUCGACCCCUCCUGUGCCGGAGUUAACGCAAUAAGUACCCCGCCUGGGGAGUACGGCCGCAAGGCUGAAACUCAAAC
rnacentral:rRNA from 1 species